AGCAGCCGCGGUAAUUCCAGCUCCAAUAGCGUAUAUUAAAGUUGUUGCAGUUAAAAAGCUCGUAGUUGAAUUUCGGGAUCAAGGAAUCGGUCAUGCCUCGGUAUGUACUGGUUUUAUUGGUUCUCACCUUCUAAAGAACCAUAAUGUCAUUCAUUUGACGUUAUGGGGAAUUAGGACUGUUACCUUGAAAAAAUUAGAGUGUUUAAAGCAGGCUUACGCUUGAAUACAUUAGCAUGGAAUAAUGAAAUAGGACAUCAGAUUCUAUUUUGUUGGUUUCUAGGAUCGAUGUAAUGAUUAAUAGGGAUAGUUGGGGGCAUUAGUAUUCAAUUGUCAGAGGUGAAAUUCUUGGAUUUAUUGAAGACUAACUACUGCGAAAGCAUUUGCCAAGGAUGUUUUCAUUAAUCAAGAACGAAAGUUAAGGGGAGUCGAAGACGAUCAGAUACCGUCGUAGUCUUAACCUACUAAACUAAUGCCGACUAGGGAGUCGGUAUGAUGUUAAUUUUAAUUAAUAGACUCA
rnacentral:rRNA from 1 species